UCCGUGUCGCCAUGUUGACCCGUCCGUCACUGCAGUCUCAGUUCUGACCGCGCUCGGCUGCCGUGGUCGCUCUGGCGCUCCGGCUGACCGCUGACCGCCGACCGGGGACCCGGACCGGAGGAGGUCCGCCGCUGGGACCGGAGGAGUCACCCCGCUGCACCUGUAACCGGCGCGGCGUGCCGGCGGCACCUGCCGCUGCAGUGACCUCGCCGCCGCCGCCGCGAGUACGGCGGCGCGCCGCAUUAGCGGCCGGUUACGUGUCGCCCGCGCCCGGAUGCGGAGGCCCCGAGCUGCGGCGCCGCCGCACGGCCCAGCUCGCGGGCCGCCAUGCGUGCAAAGUUAAUAGCCGGCCGACAGGGACAAUGGAGCGCCGUCCGCGUGCCGUCCCGGAGGCGGCGGUGAGUCAGCCGGCCGCGCCCGUCGCUCCGCCCACACACAACAGACCAUUAGCGGGCGCAGCAGCCGUGCCACGCGCCGGCAGCCCGCGAGGAACUUAUAUAACAAAACAACAACAAACCGCCCCACCGCCUGCCGCGAAACCUACACCCAAACACAAAACUGCAGCAACAAGUCACCGCAAGACGAGAAACACCAUAAUCCGGGACUUAGCCAUAGUGAAUCGAUUUCCGAUGCGACACGGUUGAAUGGACCACCGACAAAAACCCGUUUCCGAUCCGUGGUUCCGAGGAAGACUUGUUCACUUUCGUUCUGCAAGUGUUGUGAUACGGCACGGCAGCUUUGGAAUGACGCGAUCCUGCCGCUCCUUCAUUGUUGGCUACCGUUUCGUGCAGACGGCGCGGCAGGAAACAAACGCUGUCAGGCGACCAACUGAUAAUCCACUAUUCCGUGUACCAAUGCAGUGUGCUAAUGUGGUACUAAUACAUCCCAAGUGUUCUGUUA